rnacentral:rRNA from 1 species
UACGUAGGGGGCUAGCGUUGUCCGGAUUUAUUGGGCGUAAAGAGCGUGUAGGCGGCCGGGUAAGUCCGGUGUGAAAACUCGAGGCUUAACCUCGAGAUGUCAUCGGAAACUAUUCGGCUAGAGUCCGGAAGAGGAGAGUGGAAUUCCUGGUGUAGCGGUGAAAUGCGCAGAUAUCGAGAGGGAACACCUGCGGCGAAGGCGGGGUUGCUGGGGCUGACACUGACGUGAACUGCGAAAGCUAGGGGGAGCGAACGGGG